rnacentral:rRNA from 1 species
UACGUAGGCAGCGAGCGUUGUUCGGAGUUACUGGGCGUAAAGGGUGUGUAGGCGGUUGUUUAAGUUUGGUGUGAAAUCUCCCGGCUCAACUGGGAGGGUGCGCCGAAUACUGAAUGGCUUCGAGUACGGGAGAGGUGAGUGGAAUUCCUGGUGUAGCGGUGAAAUGCGUAGAUAUCAGGAGGAACACCGGUGGUGUAGACGGCUCACUGGACCGUAACUGACGCUGAGGUGCGAAAGCCAGGGGAGCAAACGGG